GGCGUGCUUAACACAUGCAAGUCGAACGGAAAGGCCCUGCUUUUGUGGGGUGCUCGAGUGGCGAACGGGUGAGUAACACGUGAGUAACCUGCCCUUGACUUUGGGAUAACUUCAGGAAACUGGGGCUAAUACCGGAUAGGAGCUCCUGCUGCAUGGUGGGGGUUGGAAAGUUUCGGCGGUUGGGGAUGGACUCGCGGCUUAUCAGCUUGUUGGUGGGGUAGUGGCUUACCAAGGCUUUGACGGGUAGCCGGCCUGAGAGGGUGACCGGCCACAUUGGGACUGAGAUACGGCCCAGACUCCUACGGGAGGCAGCAGUGGGGAAUAUUGCACAAUGGGCGGAAGCCUGAUGCAGCAACGCCGCGUGCGGGAUGACGGCCUUCGGGUUGUAAACCGCUUUCGCCUGUGACGAAGCGUGAGUGACGGUAAUGGGUAAAGAAGCACCGGCUAACUACGUGCCAGCAGCCGCGGUGAUACGUAGGGUGCGAGCGUUGUCCGGAUUUAUUGGGCGUAAAGGGCUCGUAGGUGGUUGAUCGCGUCGGAAGUGUAAUCUUGGGGCUUAACCCUGAGCGUGCUUUCGAUACGGGUUGACUUGAGGAAGGUAGGGGAGAAUGGAAUUCCUGGUGGAGCGGUGGAAUGCGCAGAUAUCAGGAGGAACACCAGUGGCGAAGGCGGUUCUCUGGGCCUUUCCUGACGCUGAGGAGCGAAAGCGUGGGGAGCGAACAGGCUUAGAUACCCUGGUAGUCCACGCUGUAAACGGUGGGUACUAGGUGUGGGGUCCAUUCCACGGGUUCCGUGCCGUAGCUAACGCUUUAAGUACCCCGCCUGGGGAGUACGGCCGCAAGGCUAAAACUCAAAGGAAUUGACGGGGCCCCGCACAAGCGGCGGAGCAUGCGGAUUAAUUCGAUGCAACGCGUAGAACCUUACCUGGGUUUGACAUGGAUCGGGAGUGCUCAGAGAUGGGUGUGCCUCUUUUGGGGUCGGUUCACAGGUGGUGCAUGGCUGUCGUCAGCUCGUGUCGUGAGAUGUUGGGUUAAGUCCCGCAACGAGCGCAACCCUUGUUCACUGUUGCCAGCACGUUAUGGUGGGGACUCAGUGGAGACCGCCGGGGUCAACUCGGAGGAAGGUGGGGAUGACGUCAAGUCAUCAUGCCCCUUAUGUCCAGGGCUUCACGCAUGCUACAAUGGCUGGUACAGAGAGUGGCGAGCCUGUGAGGGUGAGCGAAUCUCGGAAAGCCGGUCUCAGUUCGGAUUGGGGUCUGCAACUCGACCUCAUGAAGUCGGAGUCGCUAGUAAUCGCAGAUCAGCAACGCUGCGGUGAAUACGUUCCCGGGGCUUGUACACACCGCCCGUCAAGUCAUGAAAGUUGGUAACACCCGAAGCCGGUGGCCUAACCGUUGUGGGGGAGCCGUCGAAGGUGGGACUGGUGAUUAGGACUAAGUCAUA
rnacentral:rRNA from 1 species